rnacentral:rRNA from 1 species
CAAAUUAUUUUUAAUAUUAAUUUAUUUAAUAAAUAAAGUCCUUUCGUACAAAUAUUUAUAAUUUUAUUAUAGAUAGAAACCAAUCUGGUUUACACCGAUUUUAACUCAAAUCAUGUAAGAUUUUAAAAGUCGAACAGACUUAAUAAAUAAAUUUCUUCAUUUAAUAUUUAUCUUAAUUCAACAUCGAGGUCAUAAUCUUUUUUAUCAAUAUGAACUAUUUAAAAAAAUUAUGCUGUUAUCCCUAAGGUAACUUAUUUUAAUAAUUUAUAUAAAACACUCUUUUAUAUUUAAUUCAUUAAUAAAAUGUUUAAAUUAAUAAAAAAAUUAUUUUUAUUUUUUUAUACCCCCAAUAUAAUAUUAAUUUAUUUUUAAAAUUAGAAAUUAUUAAAAAAAAAAUAUAUUAAUAUAAAGUUCUAUAGGGUCUUAUCGUCUAAUAAUAUUAUUUAAGAUUUUUUACUUAAAAAUAAAAUUUAAAUUUUAAUUAAAUUAAUAUAGUUAAUAUUUUAUUUAAUCUUUCAUUCUAUUCUUUAAUUAAAAGACAAAUGAUUAUGCUACCUUUGUACAAUCAAAAAAAAUAUUGCAGCUAUUUAAAUAAUCAUUGAGCAGAUUAGACUUUAAAUUAAUAUAUUUAAAGACAUGUUUUUAAUAAACAGGUAAAUAUUAAUUUUUGCUGAAUUCAUUAAUUUAAAUUAUAAAUAAUAAAAUAAUAUAUAAAUUUAAUUUUACUAAUUUAAUCAUUAUUUUUAAAUUUUAUUAAUUUUAAAAUAUAUUUUAAUAUUAUAUUUAAAAAUUAAAUUAUUAAAUUUUUAUUAUAAUUUUAUUUAUAAAUUAUUAUAAAUUUUUAAAAAAUUAAAAUUUUAAAUUAUAUUUUUAAAUUUAAUUUUUAGUAAAAUUUUAUAAAAUUAGAUUUAAAGUUUAUCCCAUAAAUCUUUAAAAUUUAUUAAAUUAAUUUAAAUAUAUAUAUAUAUAUAAAUUAUUUUUAUAAAUUUAUGAAUUUAAUUCAUUUAUUAAAAAAUUAGAUAUUAUUAAUUAUGAAUAAUAUAUAAUUCCUAAAAUUUAAUUUUUAAUAAUUAUAUUAUAUUAAUUAAAAUUAAAUUUUAAUUCCAUUAAUUUCGAAAAAUUUAAAUUUAAUUAAAAAUUUUUAAUUAAUCCUGAUACAAAAGGUAAAAAAAAUUAAUUUAUCUUUAUUAAUAAUAUUAUUUUUUUUUACAAUACAAAUUAUUAUAAUUAAUAUAAUUAUUUUAUAUAUACUACUAAAAAUUUAUUUUAUUAUUAUUAUUUUAAUUAAUUAAUUUAAAAUAUAAAUUAAAAUAAAAAAUAUUAUUUAAAUUUAUU